rnacentral:rRNA from 1 species
CACAAGCGGUGGAGCAUGUGGUUUAAUUCGAUGCAACGCGAAGAACCUUACCAAGUCUUGACAUCCUGCGAAUUUUCUAGAGAUAGAUUAGUGCCUUCGGGAGCGCAGUGACAGGUGCUGCAUGGCUGUCGUCAGCUCGUGUCGUGAAGUGUUGGGUUAAGUCCCGUAACGAGCGCAACCCUUGUCCUUAGUUGCUAGCAGGUUAAGCUGAGAACUCUAAGGAGACUGCCGGUGACAAACCGGAGGAAGGUGGGGACGACGUCAAGUCAUCAUGGCCCUUACGACUUGGGCUACACACGUGCUACAAUGGCCAGUACAAAGGGUUGCCAAGCCGCGAGGUGGAGCUAAUCUCAUAAAACUGGUCGUAGUCCGGAUUGGAGUCUGCAACUCGACUCCAUGAAGUCGGAAUCGCUAGUAAUCGUGAAUCAGAAUGUCACGGUGAAUACGUUCCCGGGCCUUGUACACACCGCCCGUCACACCAUGGGAGUGGGUUGCUCCAGAAGUGGCUAGUCUAACCUUCGGGGGGACGGUCACCACGGAGUGAUUCAUGAACUGGGGUG